GACGAACGCUGGCGGCGUGCCUAAUACAUGCAAGUAGAACGCUGAAGGAGGAGCUUGCUUCUCCGGAUGGGUUGCGAACGGGUGAGUAGCGCGUAGGUAACCUGCCUGGUAGCGGGGGAUAACUAUUGGAAACGAUAGCUAAUACCGCAUAACAGUAGAUGUUGCAUGACAUUUGCUUAAAAGGUGCAAUUGCAUCACUACCAGAUGGACCUGCGUUGUAUUAGCUAGUUGGUGAGGUAACGGCUCACCAAGGCGACGAUACAUAGCCGACCUGAGAGGGUGAUCGGCCACACUGGGACUGAGACACGGCCCAGACUCCUACGGGAGGCAGCAGUAGGGAAUCUUCGGCAAUGGACGGAAGUCUGACCGAGCAACGCCGCGUGAGUGAAGAAGGUUUUCGGAUCGUAAAGCUCUGUUGUAAGAGAAGAACGAGUGUGAGAGUGGAAAGUUCACACUGUGACGGUAUCUUACCAGAAAGGGACGGCUAACUACGUG
rnacentral:rRNA from 1 species